ACGGUCCUAAGGUAGCGAAAUUCCUUGUCGGGUAAGUUCCGACCUGCACGAAUGGCAUAAUGAUGGCCAGGCUGUCUCCACCCGAGACUCAGUGAAAUUGAAAUCGCCGUGAAGAUGCGGUGUACCCGCGGCUAGACGGAAAGACCCCGUGAACCUUUACUAUAGCUUGACACUGAACAUUGAAUUUUGAUGUGUAGGAUAGGUGGGAGCCUUAGAAGCAGUCACGCCAGUGAUUGUGGAGGCGUCCUUGAAAUACCACCCUUUAACGUUUGAUGUUCUAACGAAGAUUACGAAACGUGGUCUCGGACAGUGUCUGGUGGGUAGUUUGACUGGGGCGGUCUCCUCCCAAAGAGUAACGGAGGAGCACGAAGGUUUGCUAAUGACGGUCGGACAUCGUCAGGUUAGUGCAAUGGUAUAAGCAAGCUUAACUGCGAGACAGACAAGUCGAGCAGGUACGAAAGUAGGUCAUAGUGAUCCGGUGGUUCUGAAUGGAAGGGCCAUCGCUCAACGGAUAAAAGGUACUCCGGGGAUAACAGGCUGAUACCGCCCAAGAGUUCAUAUCGACGGCGGUGUUUGGCACCUCGAUGUCGGCUCAUCACAUCCUGGGGCUGAAGUAGGUCCCAAGGGUAUGGCUGUUCGCCAUUUAAAGUGGUACGCGAGCUGGGUUUAGAACGUCGUGAGACAGUUCGGUCCCUAUCUGCCGUGGGCGUUGGAGAAUUGAUUGGGGCUGCUCCUAGUACGAGAGGACCGGAGUGGACGCACCACUGGUGUUCCGGUUGUGUCGCCAGACGCAUUGCCGGGUAGCUAAGUGCGGAAGAGAUAAGUGCUGAAAGCAUCUAAGCACGAAACUUGCCAAGAGAUGAGUUCUCCCAGAUUACAAAUCUGUAAGGGUUGUUUAAGACUAAGACGUAGAUAGGCAUGGUGUGUAAGCGGUGCGAGCCGUUGAGCUAACAUGUACUAAUUGCCCGAGAGGCUUAACUAU
rnacentral:rRNA from 1 species